GGGUCAGUAGGUUGGUCGUGCCACCGGUACGUACUGGUCUCACUGAUUCCUCCUUCCUGAAGAACCGUAAUGCCAUUAAUUCGGUGUUGCGGGGAAACUGGACUGUUACUUUGAAAAAAUUAGAGUGUUUAAAGCAAGCUAACGCUUGAAUACAUUAGCAUGGAAUAAUGAAAUAGGACGAUCGAUCCUAUUUUGUUGGUUUCUAGGAUUGACGUA
rnacentral:rRNA from 1 species